GCGCCUGUGGUUUAGUGGUAAAAUCCAUCGUUGCCAUUUGACAUCUCUUGAUCUUACGAGACGUCAAACAACAUCGAUGGGCCCCGGAUUCGAUUUCCGGCGGGCGCA